rnacentral:rRNA from 1 species
ACGCUGGCGGCGUGCCUAAUACAUGCAAGUAGAACGCUGAAGAGAGGAGCUUGCUCUUCUUGGAUGAGUUGCGAACGGGUGAGUAACGCGUAGGUAACCUGCCUUGUAGCGGGGGAUAACUAUUGGAAACGAUAGCUAAUACCGCAUAACAAUGGAUGACACAUGUCAUUUAUUUGAAAGGGGCAAUUGCUCCACUACAAGAUGGACCUGCGUUGUAUUAGCUAGUAGGUGAGGUAACGGCUCACCUAGGCGACGAUACAUAGCCGACCUGAGAGGGUGAUCGGCCACACUGGGACUGAGACACGGCCCAGACUCCUACGGGAGGCAGCAGUAGGGAAUCUUCGGCAAUGGGGGCAACCCUGACCGAGCAACGCCGCGUGAGUGAAGAAGGUUUUCGGAUCGUAAAGCUCUGUUGUAAGUCAAGAACGAGUGUGAGAGUGGAAAGUUCACACUGUGACGGUAGCUUACCAGAAAGGGACGGCUAACUACGUGCCAGCAGCCGCGGUAAUACGUAGGUCCCGAGCGUUGUCCGGAUUUAUUGGGCGUAAAGCGAGCGCAGGCGGUUUGAUAAGUCUGAAGUUAAAGGCUGUGGCUCAACCAUAGUUCGCUUUGGAAACUGUCGAACUUGAGUGCAGAAGGGGAGAGUGGAAUUCCAUGUGUAGCGGUGAAAUGCGUAGAUAUAUGGAGGAACACUGGUGGCGAAAGCGGCUCUCUGGUCUGUAACUGACGCUGAGGCUUGAAAGCGUGGGGAGCGAACAGGAUUAGAUACCCUGGUAGUCCACGCCGUAAACGAUGAGUGCUAGGUGUUGGAUCCUUUCCGGGAUUCAGUGCCGCAGCUAACGCAUUAAGCACUCCGCCUGGGGAGUACGACCGCAAGGUUGAAACUCAAAGGAAUUGACGGGGGCCCGCA